rnacentral:miRNA from 2 species
GACCCGUAGAUCCGAACUUGUG